rnacentral:tRNA from 1 species
UGAAUUUUAAGUUAAGUAAACUAGAAAUCUUCCAAAUUUCAAAUAAGAUCCUCUUAAAUUCAA